rnacentral:rRNA from 1 species
UACAGAGGGUGCAAGCGUUAAUCGGAAUUACUGGGCGUAAAGCGUGCGUAGACGGUUAUGUAAGUCGGGUGUGAAAUCCCCGGGCUUAACCUGGGAACUGCGUUUCUAACUGGCAGGCUUGAGUGUGGCAGAGGGGGGUGGAAUUCCAAGUGUAGCAGUGAAAUGCGUAGAGAUGUGGAGGAACACCGAUGGCGAAGGCAGCCCCCUGGGCUAACACUGACGCUCAUGCACGAAAGCGUGGGGAGCAAACAGG